rnacentral:rRNA from 1 species
UACGAAGGGGGCUAGCGUUGUUCGGAAUUACUGGGCGUAAAGCGCACGCAGGCGGCGUGUUUAGUCAGGGGUGAAAUCCCGGGGCUCAACCUCGGAACUGCCUUUGAUACUGGCACGCUAGAGUCCGGAAGAGGAUGGCGGAAUUCCUAGUGUAGAGGUGAAAUUCGUAGAUAUUAGGAGGAACACCAGUGGCGAAGGCGGCCAUCUGGUCCGGAACUGACGCUCAGGUGCGAAAGCGUGGGGAGCAAACAGG